rnacentral:misc_RNA from 1 species
GAUGAAGAACGCAGCGAAAUGCGAUACGUAAUGUGAAUUGCAGAAUUCAGUGAAUCAUCGAGUCUUUGAACGCACAUUGCGCCCCCUGGUAUUCCGGGGGGCAUGCCUGUCCGAGCGUCAUUGCUGCCCUCAAGCACGGCUUGUGUGUUGGGCCUCCGCCCCCCGGCUCCCGGGGGGCGGGCCCGAAAGGCAGCGGCGGCACCGCGUCCGGUCCUCGAGCGUAUGGGGCUUCGUCACCCGCUCCGUAGGCCCGGCCGGCGCCCGCCGGCGACCCCCCUCAAUCUUUCCAGGUUGACCUCGGAUCAGGUAGGGAUACCCGCUGAACUUAAGCAUAUCAAUAAGCGGGAGGA